UGAUGAAAGGAAACUUUGUCAGGACUCAUGCCAGACAAAUAGGGUGGGGCCUUUCAUAGAGCCAAGUUCUUAGGCCAUCAAUAAGAGAUGGAAACCACCUGAAGGAAGGUGCCACGGUGGGAAUCUGGGUGGCAGGAAGCAGUCACUGAACUGUCAGGGUGAAUCCUGGCCCUCACACACCCUUUCUCCUCCUGAACUCCUUGUCUCAUUUCUCCUGUCUGCUCUUUCCCCGCCUUUCCCAAGGCUCAAAACACUUGGUAACCUUGGACAGUUUCAAAACUGGAGAGAUUUGGCCACAACAUUUUCAAGCUAGGAAGGUCCCCCAGAACUAUUGUCUAAGUUUUUAUGUUGAUUAGAAGAGAACAAGAGAGUUUCCAUCUGAUCUGGUCCUAAGUCUCCCUGAGUCUGGGCAGGAAGCAGAGCAGAGUCUGGACAGGAAGCAGGAGGAUGCCCAGGGUCCUGGACUUGCCCCUCCUAGCUGCUCAGCUCCUCACCUGUUCACUGUGAGAGAGCUGCCCUGGAAUGGGGAAUCCAUGGUCUCCACAGAGGCUGGGAUCCCAGGCUCAAAUCUAAAUACUGGCUGAUUCAGGAGGCUAAGGGAGGCAAUUCCCUGGAGAGAGGUGUCAGGAUUUGGGACAAAAGCAGCAUCUAGUCGCUGUCCACAGAGACCUCAAGGACAGGAAUCCACUGGUUCCCAAUUGGAGGGGAUCCCAUGAAAAUGAAAUGAAACCCACAAGUUAGUACUAGACCGAAGACAGGAGAGUCGUCCUCGCGGCCCCCGUGGAGAGAUCGAGCUCAAGGACUGCAAGGCUGGCUCUCCCCUAGUAUGGCCAACGAAGAGGAUGACCCAGUCAUACAGGAGAUCCACGUGUACUUGGCCAAGAGUCUGGCAGAAAAGCUGUAUCUGUUUCAGUAUCCCGUGCAUCCAGCCUCGAUGACCUACGAUGACAUUCCACACCUCUCAGCCAAGAUCAAGCCCAAGCAGCAGAAGCAAAGGGGAGCAGAUUGAGCUGAACGUGGACGGGGCCUGCGUGGAUGAGACCAGCACGUACUCCUCGAAGCUGAUGGACAAGCAGACCUUCUGCUCUUCCCAGACCACCAGGAACACAUCCCAUUACGCCGCUGCACUCUACAGGCAAGGUGAGCUCUACCUGACACCUUCACAUGGCAUUUUGCAGCUGCGGCCCAGCUUCUCCUACCUGGAUAAGGCGGACGCCAAGCACCGGGAGAGGGAGGCAGGCGAUGAAGCAGGGGACUCUUCACAGGAUGAGGUGGAAGACGAUGUUAAGCAGAUCACGGUGGGGUCCUCGCGGCCCGAGUCACAGCAGGCCCACCAGCGCCGCUUGCAGUCCUAUGAGUUCCUGCAGAAGAAGCAUGCGCAGGAGGCCUGGGUCCACCUGCAUUACUAUGGCCUGAAGGACAGCCGCUCUGAGCACGAGCGCCAGUACCUGCUAUGCCCAGGCUCGAGCGGGGAGGAGAACACAGAGCUUGUCAAGUCACCCAGUGAGUACCUGUUGAUGCUGAUGCCGCCCAGCCAGGAGGAGGAGAAAGACAAGCCUGUGGCCUCCAGCAACGUCCUGUCCAUGGCCCCGCUGCGCACGCUGCCCCUGGCCGGUCAGAUCAAGAUCCUGAUGAAGAACGUGAAAGGCCAUGCCUUUGGCCAACUUGAUGAGCCUCCUGGGCCCCGCAUCGAUUCCGUGGCUGUUCUGCGCGGCAUCCAGAAGGUGGCGAUGUUGGUCCAAGGGAGCCCGGUGGUGAAGCGUGACAUCCUGUGCUCCAAGGACUUAUCCAGCCGUCACAGCGGCGUGCCCGUGCCCGCCGGAGUGCUCUGCGGCGGCUGAGACUUCGUUAUGCGGAAGUUCACGCAGAGCCGCUGGGUGGUUAGGAAGGAGGUGGCAACAGUGACCAAACUCUGCACCGGGGACGUGAAGGACUUCCUGGAGCACGUGGCCGUGGUGAGGAUCAACAACGGCUGGGAGUUCAUUCUGCCUUAGGACGGGGAGUUCAUCAGAAAGCACCGGGAUGCGGUCCAGCGGCAGCACCUGCUGUGGACGGGUAUCCGGGCCACACUGGAAAAAGUCUAUAAUCCUGUAAAGGAAACCAGGCCAAAGAAGCCGGAUGCACAAUCAGGGCCUGCCGGGCUGGUCUCUGGGGACCAGCGGAUCCAAGUAGCCAAAACCAAGGCCCGGCAGAACCACGCGUUGCUGGAGCGGGAACUGCAGCGGCGGAAGGAGCAGCUGCGGGCGCCUGUGGUCCAGCCGGGUGUGCGGAUCAAGGAGGAGCCAGUGAGGGAGGAGGGCGAGGACGAUGACGAGGAGGAGGAGUUUUACAGUUCAUGAACUUAACUGCAGACAAAAAAGUAGAAACUGUACAGACUAGCUCUGUUGUUUGGGAUGGAAGCGGGCUCUAGGGCUCUCAGUGUCCCCAUUCCGUGGUCGACACAACACCCUUACUUUGUGGAGCGGAACGGCUCUCCCUGCGCCCAGCUGCCCUUCCUCAUAUUCACGAGGCCCGCAGGUCACAACCGCAGUCUCACCUGUCAGCAGAAUGCGCUGCCAUCUACCCCAACUACCCGAGCCACCCGGCAAUAAAAUGAGACACAUUACAGAAACAUGAGAUCACAUGAAUAAUCUCAAAAACAUUACGCUGAGUGAUUGAAACAGUGCAUGCUGUGUGGUGCCAUCAUGGUGAAUUUCUAGAACAGGUAAAACUAACCUGUAUAGUGACAGAAGCUACAUCAUUGAUUGCUGGGGUCAAGGAAGUGCGGGGGGGACUGACUGCAAAAGGCACAAGAGAACAUUUUGGAGUAACAGACACGUCAUCAAACUGGAAAGG